GGACACCUAUGAGAUCCUGUCUGCUGUUCAGUCAGACUCAGGGACAUACACAUGUAAAGGACAGCAUAAGGAAAGAGUAUGGUACACUGGCAGCAGCAAUACGGUUGCACUCAAAGUUAAUGCUCAUCCUCAGGUUGUGCCAACCCUGGAGACUAUGAUGACAUUUUGUGUACCCCCACCAAAAGAGGAUCCAGAAGAUCUCACAUCAUUCAAAGGUACUAUGAUGCACUGUUAUCUCUGCCUGGGUGUAUUUUGAUGAUUUGGUUUGGCCAUAUUUCUGUUUGUGACACUUCUUCUCUGAACCUGUAGUUGUGACCAUUUCUCAUUUGUUUUAGCUGGCCAGUGAAGAGGAAAAACAUCUCUCUUAGGACCAGUGCAGAUGGCUGUGAUCGCAAAGGAAAAAGUGAGGAUUUUAUGUAAUGUAGGAAAAUGUCAUCCCAUGGUUUCUGAGAUGACUGUACUGUAUAUGUAUCCAGAACACUGAUCUCUGACUACAUGGCUUACCUUUAGACUGCAUACAUGUGCUUCAUUUCAUUUCAUGAGCUUUUUUUUUUUACUACUUACUACAUAGCUGUGGAAUUAUAAGGCAUUCAAGCCUUGAUAUAUAUUUUAUCCUUUAUUCUUCAAAUGUUAAGUUUGAUUUCAUCCUAAUUAUUUUUUGCUUUCAUUUUCACCAUGUGUGUUAUAUUCUUUCAUAAUGACUGGAGAAAUUUAAUUAAAAUUCUAAACUGCAAGUAACUGAAAGCUUGCUGAUGUUUUGCUUGCCUAAACAUGUAAAAGGUUCUUGACAUGCUUAAGUAAUGUGUU